rnacentral:rRNA from 1 species
UGGGGAAUCUUGCACAAUGGGCGAAAGCCUGAUGCAGCAACGCCGCGUGGGGGAUGAAGCUUUUCGGAGUGUAAACCCCUUUCGACCCGGAAGAAAGCCCGCAAGGGUUUGACGGUACGGGUAUAAGAAGCCCCGGCUAACUACGUGCCAGCAGCCGCGGUAAUACGUAGGGGGCCAGCGUUGCUCGGAAUUACUGGGCGUAAAGGGUCUGUAGGCGGUGUAGCAAGUCGAGAGUGAAAUCCCUGGGCUUAACCCAGGGGCUGCUAACGAAACUGCUAUGCUAGAGUGUGAGAGAGGCAAGUGGAAUUACGGGUGUAGCGGUGAAAUGCGUAGAUAUCCGUAGGAACAUCCGAGGCGAAGGCGGCUUGCUGGAUCACAACUGACGCUGAGAGACGAAAGCUAGGGGAGCAAACAGGAUUAGAUACCCCCGUAGUCC